rnacentral:rRNA from 1 species
CCUACGGGGCGCAGCAGUGAGGAAUAUUGGUCAAUGGGCGCGAGCCUGAACCAGCCAAGUAGCGUGAAGGAUGACUGCCCUACGGGUUGUAAACUUCUUUUAUAAAGGAAUAAAGUGAGGCACGUGUGCCUUUUUGUAUGUACUUUAUGAAUAAGGAUCGGCUAACUCCGUGCCAGCAGCCGCGGUAAUACGGAGGAUCCGAGCGUUAUCCGGAUUUAUUGGGUUUAAAGGGAGCGUAGGUGGGUUGUUAAGUCAGUUGUGAAAGUUUGGGGCUCAACCGUAAGAUUGCAAUUGAUACUGGCGGUCUUGAGUACGGUUGAGGUAGGCGGAAUUCGUGGUGUAGCGGUGAAAUGCUUAGAUAUCACGAAGAACUCCGAUUGCGAAGGCAGCUUACUAAACUGCCACUGACAUUGAUGCUCGAAAGUGUGGGUAUCAAACAGGAUUAGAUACCCGAGUAGUC